GGUCAUUUUCUCGAGACCUUAUGAUCAACUUCUGAGUGUAAACCAAUGAUCCUCUUGGUAAGAGAUUAAACAACUCAAAAACGCGGCAGGAAGUAGGGUGGGAGCCCAAGUAUUCUAGCUUUGGUCAUUUUCUCGAGACCUUAUGAUCAACUUCUGAGUGUAUCUUUUGAGUUUGAAAUCAAAUCAAUAUUUUCACCAUGUUGAUAUUGUAUAUAGAACAUUAUCAUUCAUUUCUUAAAUAUGUGUUUUCUCUGCUCUUCUACUUGGAGUUACAGUUCAAAUUUACUUUUAAGGUGAACACUGAGCAUUGAUAAGUCAUAAUACUACAGAAGGACAUGUGUGAAUCAUUUUGAUUAAGCAUACUCAUGAAAUAGUAUCAUUGCAUUUUCCAUAUGUAUUUUUUCUGGAUAUUUCUCUUUUGCCUAAAUGAUUUAUCUUUGUUACUGGAAAAAUAUGCA
rnacentral:lncRNA from 1 species